GAUCAUGGCUCAGGAUGAACGCUAGCUACAGGCUUAACACACGCAAGUCGAGGGGCAGCAUUUUAGUUUGCUUGCAAACUGAAGAUGGCGACCGGCGCACGGGUGAGUAACACGUAUCCAACCUGCCGAUAACUCCGGGAUAGCCUUUCGAAAGAAAGAUUAAUACCGGAUAGCAUACGAAUAUCGCAUGAUAUUUUUAUUAAAGAAUUUCGGUUAUCGAUGGGGAUGCGUUCCAUUAGUUUG
rnacentral:rRNA from 1 species